UCCAUUACUCAGUUGGUAGAGUACAAGCUCUUAACCUUGUGGACGUGGGUUCAAGCCCCAUGGUGGAG
rnacentral:tRNA from 1 species